rnacentral:miRNA from 1 species
UAGCAGCACAUAGAUAUUGGCG